GAUGAAGAACGUAGCGAAAUGCGAUAAGUAGUGUGAAUUGCAGAAUUCCGUGAAUCAUCGAGUCUUUGAACGCACAUUGCGCCCCCUGGUAUUCCGGGGGGCAUGCCUGUCCGAGCGUCAUCGCUGCCCUCAAGCACGGCUUGUGUGUUGGGCCUCCGUCCUCCUCCCGGGGGACGGGCCCGAAAGGCAGCGGCGGCACCGCGUCCGGUCCUCGAGCGUAUGGGGCUUCGUCACCCGCUCUUGUAGGCCCGGCCGGCGCUUGCCGACACAUCAAUCUUUUUUCCAGGUUGACCUCGGAUCAGGUAGGGAUACCCGCUGAACUUAAGCAUAUCAAUAAGCGGAGGA
rnacentral:misc_RNA from 1 species